AACGAACGCUGGCGGCAUGCCUAACACAUGCAAGUCGAACGAGACCUUCGGGUCUAGUGGCGCACGGGUGCGUAACGCGUGGGAACCUGCCCUUAGGUUCGGAAUAACUCCCCGAAAGGGGUGCUAAUACCGGAUAAUGUCUUCGGGCCAAAGAUUUAUCGCCUUUGGAUGGGCCCGCGUUGGAUUAGCUAGUUGGUAGGGUAAAAGCCUACCAAGGCGACGAUCCAUAGCUGGUCUGAGAGGAUGAUCAGCCACACUGGGACUGAGACACGGCCCAGACUCCUACGGGAGGCAGCAGUGGGGAAUAUUGGACAAUGGGCGAGAGCCUGAUCCAGCAAUGCCGCGUGAGUGAUGAAGGCCUUAGGGUUGUAAAGCUCUUUUACCCGGGAUGAUAAUGACAGUACCGGGAGAAUAAGCUCCGGCUAACUCCGUG
rnacentral:rRNA from 1 species